rnacentral:rRNA from 1 species
GUAGGUGGCAAGCGUUGUCCGGAAUUAUUGGGCGUAAAGCGCGCGCAGGCGGUUCUUUAAGUCUGAUGUGAAAGCCCACGGCUCAACCGUGGAGGGUCAUUGGAAACUGGAGAACUUGAGUACAGAAGAGGAAAGCGGAAUUCCACGUGUAGCGGUGAAAUGCGUAGAGAUGUGGAGGAACACCAGUGGCGAAGGCGGCUUUCUGGUCUGUAACUGACGCUGAGGCGCGAAAGCUUGGGGAGCAAACAGGGAUUAGAUACCCUGGUAGUCCACGCCGUAAACGAUGAGUGCUAAGUGUUAGGGGGUUUCCGCCCCCUUAGUGCUGCAGCUAACGCAUUAAGCACUCCGCCUGGGGAUACGGCCGCAAGGCUG